rnacentral:rRNA from 1 species
AGCGGAGGAAAAGAAACUAACAAGGAUUCCCCUAGUAACUGCGAGUGAAGCGGGAAAAGCUCAAAUUUGGAAUCUGGUGGUCUUUGNCCAUCCGAGUUGUAAUUUAGAGAAGCGUCUUCCGCGCUGGACCGUGCACAAGUCUCCUGGAAUGGAGCGUCAUAGAGGGUGAGAAUCCCGUCUUUGGCAUGGAAUCNCAGGGCUUCUGUGAUGCGCUCUCGACGAGUCGAGUUGUUUGGGAAUGCAGCUCAAAAUGGGUGGUGAACUCCAUCUAAAGCUAAAUAUUGGCGAGAGACCGAUAGCGAACAAGUACCGUGAGGGAAAGAUGAAAGGCACUUUGGAAAGAGAGUGAAACAGUACGUGAAAUUGUUGAGAGGGAAACGCUUGAAGUCAGUCGCGUCGACCGAGACUCAGCCUUGCCUCGGCUUGGUGUACUUCUCGGCUUGACGGGUCAGCAUCGAUUUCAAUCCUCGGAUAAUGGCAAGGGAAAGGUAGCACCUUUUUAGGUGUGUUAUAGUCCUCUGUCGCAUGCGAGGGUCGGGAUCGAGGAACUCAGCACGCACCUCAGGGUGUCGGGGCCUUGGCCCACGUUUACGUGCUUAGGAUGCUGGCGUAAUGGCUUUAAACGACC